CAAGCGAUACUGGGCGAUUAAUAGAAGCUUUGUGUAGUAAGCGCUGUUGUUAAGGGCUUACGUAAAAAUAUGGAAUAAAAAAGUUGAGGGGAAGUAACUACAUUUCCUAUGCAAUUAAAGUCAUCUCUUACAUUUUAUGUUUACUAUUUGUUAUUUCCUAGAUGUUGUGAACAAUUUGUAAAAAUAUACAUUGAAAAAUUGGUGAAGCUCGAAGUUCCAUAUAUUUUUUAAUCAUUUGCUUUUAAAACCAUUAUCCUAGUGUGAUUCUAUUUGAAAGUUAAAAGUUUAAGUGAGCUCCUUGUAUUCAAGAUAACAGUAUGAACUUUAUCUUAAGUGAUACAAAGACAAACAACGUAGGAAGUAUUUUAAUCGAAUUCUUAUGCUAAGUGUCUCCAAAAAAUGUUUGUCCCAUCAAGAAGUGAUCUACUUUACCUACAUAGAAAUGCUGAAUCUGUCACAUUGUUCUUUAUUACAAAAUUAUUCCUAGUACAGGAUAUGAAUUAGCUGGUUGGUUCUGCUUAUGAUUCUUAUCCUAAAAAUAUUUCGUAGUGAACAACGGCCACUCAAAAACUUCUUUGUUGAUUUGGUAAUGUUAUGUUUGUCUACAUAAAAAACAUUCUAAAUAAAAACGAAAGAAAUAUCACGAGUGGAGUAAAAUUAAUCUUUUUUUAUGAAAGAGUAUUUGAUCUGGAGGAGAAAUGUUAUUAAAAAAAGGCUAUUAAGAAUAAAAGUAACGUUUCAUAGAUUAGAAGUUGAAAAUAACUGUGGGCGUGUAGAAAACACACACAAGAAAAAAUACACGAAAAAUGUAAUCCCCUCUGAAAGCGAAAUAACUUUGGAAAGUUGAAGAACCAAUUGUGAGAAGCUUAAUGAAAAAUGGAACUACUUCGGAAAGUAUGUAACCACCUUUGGAAAGUUAGAGGAACCAAUUGUGAGAAGCUUAAUGAAAAGUGGAACUACUUUGGAGGGUAUGUAACCACCUUUGGAAAGUUAGAGGAACCAAUUGUGAGAAGCUUAAUGAAAAGUGGGACUACUUCGGAAGGUAUGUAACCACCUUUGGAAAGUUAGAGGAACCAAUUGUGAGAAGCUUAAUGAAAAAUGAAACUACUUCGGAAUGUAUGUAAUCACCUUUGUAAAGUUGAGGAAUCAAUUGUGAGAAGAUUAAUGAAAAGUGGAACUACUUCGGAAGGUAUGUAAUCACCUUUGGAAAGUUGAGGAAUCAAUUGUGAGAAGCUUAAUGAAAAGUGGAACUACUUCGGAAGGUAUGUAACCACCUUUGGAAAGUUAGAGGAAUCACUGCAAAAGUAAAACGGCUCGUACAUUGGAAGGACUUUUGUGAAAAGUAUAACUGUCCGAAAGUUGGAAGGAACUUUGUGAAAAGUAAAGCUGUCCAAAAGUUGGAAGAAUAAUUGUGAAAAUUAAAACGGCCCAGAAGGUUGAAGGCACACUGUAAAAAGGAAAAGUGCUUUAGAUAAGAUCAUCUAUUCUAGUGAAAAGUGUACGAAAUGUGAGCAAACAUUGAAUAGUUUGAUGAAAAGUUGAAAGAUCUCACAGAAAAAAAUACCAUAAAAAAUUUGGAAAGAUGGAUUUCCUGUAAGAUAGGUGAUCUCCCCAGAAUUACAUCAGAAGAUAGAUUUCCUGAAAGAUGUGUGAGCUCACCCAGAAACACAUCAGAAGACGGAUUUAUUGAAAGGUAAGUGAACUCACCCAGAAACACACCAGAAGACGGAUUUCCUGUAAAAUUGACGAACUCCGCAGAAUUUUCUCAGAAGAUGGAUUUCCUGAAAAAAGGGGGUGAGCCCACCCACAAACACAUCAAAAGCUGGAUUUAUUGAAAGGUAAGUGAACUCACCCAGAAACAUAUCAGAAGACGGAUUUUCUGAAAGGUAGGAGAGCUUAACAAAAUUACAUCAGGAGAUGGAUUUCCUGGAGAGAGAAUGAGCUCCCAAAAAUACAUAAGAAGACGGAUUUCCUGAAAAGUGGGUAAAUUCCCAGAAACACAUCAGAAGAUAGAUUUCCUAUGAGGUGGGUGAGCUCGUCAGAAUUACUUCAGAAGAUGGGUUUCCUGAAAAAUGGAUGAACUCACUCAGAAUGACAUCAAAAAAUUGAUUUUCUUUAAAGUAGCGGAGCUGAAACCAGAAUCAAAAUAGAGAAUGGAUUUCUUGAAAGAUGGGUGAGCUCACCCAGAACAUAUCGCAAGAUGGAUUUCUUCAAAGGUCUACCCAGAAACAACAUAAUACUUCAUAAAGAAUACUUUCACUAAAAAACUAUAAACAUAAUUUAAAAAUAGAAACAUACUUUGUUUUAAAUGACUCAAGAAUGGCGGAACAUUGAGAGCAAGUUUAUUGGCGUAGGAUAAUAAUUAUUUUCUGAAUACUUAACAAAUUGUUUUAUCUAUCUCCUAGUAAAGGGUUAGUAUGCGAACCCAUAUAAAAAAAAACAUUACUUAUCUUUAAUAUACCCCAUCUUACACUAGGAGAGCUUUCCACUUGAGGAUAUUAAAAAACGGUCCCCAUACUUCUGGUUAGAAAAGAAUAUGAAUACAAAUUCCAAAUUUAAUAGCCUUGUUUAAUAGUCUCGGCUGUUCUGAAACACUUUCUAAAACAGGAUAAAAUUACAUUUUGAUCUAACAUUGUUUCUUGUACACCGUUACAAAGAAUACUUAAAACCAUAGUGCGUGUAGAUUGAAGUAGCUUGUGUGUCUCAAGUUUACUUUACCGGGUAGCAGCGGCUUUAUGUUUUAACAGUACUUACUCAAUCACUUGUUGUUUGUAACUUUAUACAUUCUCACCUAUACAUCUGUACAUUCUCACUUAUAUCUCUGUACAUACUUACAGAUCCGCCGAGAGCUUCCACGAGGAAGGACACGGAUAUGCAUGAACAAACUGAAUGUCAACAAGUUGCUCCAGGGAAUUGUUCUGACUCCAGAAGGCGGAAGAUGGCAGUAAUCCAGAAUCUACAAGAAGUUCGUCGCACAAACUCCUUGUAAGUAUGUUAUUUCUGUUCUAGUCUAACGGUGUUUCACUUAAGGUUCUAUAAUGUAUAAAGAGAGAAAAGUGAAGAACAAUAACUGUACUAAAGAAAUAUUAGGUUUGAUAAUGCUUAUAGUGGAAUUAUUUAAAUAUAUCUUAGAAGAAUUGUUUAUGCAGUUAUAACGAUUAUGACCGAGAAAAUUUCUUGUGUUCGCUUAGUUGAUAAGUUAAUUAAUGUUAUAUCUAUGUUAUUGAACAUAAUAGAAGGUCUUAGUAACGAACAUCAAAAUCUUGAAAACAAAAAUUCAAUGACUUAGAGUUAGUGUUGUUGCAAGAUAACUUUGAGAGUUUCGAUAUAGAUGCUCAACAGUGUGUAAAUAAAACACUAUUUGAUUUGUA
rnacentral:lncRNA from 1 species